rnacentral:rRNA from 1 species
CCCGUAAUCCGGGUUGCGGACAGUGUCUGGUGGGUAGUUUGACUGGGGCGGUCUCCUCCUAAAGAGUAACGGAGGAGCACGAAGGUUGGCUAAUCCUGGUCGGACAUCAGGAGGUUAGUGCAAUGGCAUAAGCCAGCUUGACUGCGAGCGUGACGGCGCGAGCAGGUGCGAAAGCAGGUCAUAGUGAUCCGGUGGUUCUGAAUGGAAGGGCCAUCGCUCAACGGAUAAAAGGUACUCCGGGGAUAACAGGCUGAUACCGCCCAAGAGUUCAUAUCGACGGCGGUGUUUGGCACCUCGAUGUCGGCUCAUCACAUCCUGGGGCUGAAGUAGGUCCCAAGGGUAUGGCUGUUCGCCAUUUAAAGUGGUACGCGAGCUGGGUUUAGAACGUCGUGAGACAGUUCGGUCCCUAUCUGCCGUGGGCGCUGGAGAACUGAGGGGGGCUGCUCCUAGUACGAGAGGACCGGAGUGGACGCAUCACUGGUGUUCGGGUUGUCAUGCCAAUGGCACUGCCCGGUAGCUAAAUGCGGAAGAGAUAAGUGCUGAAAGCAUCUAAGCACGAAACUUGCCCCGAGAUGAGUUCUCCCUGACUCCUUGAGAGUCCUGAAGGAACGUUGAAGACGACGACGUUGAUAGGCCGGGUGUGUAAGC